rnacentral:ribozyme from 1 species
UGCACUCUGUAAUGGAUGGGAUGGGAUCCGAAGCCCCCCAAGGGAUAAUACAGGCUCUCCUAUUUCCAACUCUAACCCUUUGGUGAGUAUCCCGGGAAACUGGGUGCCUGAACGUCGGGGGGGGGGGGGGUAACCCGAGGUUAAACAAAACGGC